rnacentral:rRNA from 1 species
GAUGAACGCUAGCGGGAGGCCUAACACAUGCAAACCGAGCGGUAGAGUCUCUUCGGAGACUUGAGAGCGGCGCACGGGUGCGGAACACGUGUGCAACCUGCCUUUAUCUGGGGGAUAGCCUUUCGAAAGGAAGAUUAAUACCCCAUAAUAUACUGGAUGGCAUCAUCUGGUAUUGAAAACUCCGGUGGAUAGAGAUGGGCACGCGCAAGAUUAGAUAGUUGGUGAGGUAACGGCUCACCAAGUCAGCGAUCUUUAGGGGGCCUGAGAGGGUGAUCCCCCACACUGGUACUGAGACACGGACCAGACUCCUACGGGAGGCAGCAGUGAGGAAUAUUGGACAAUGGGUGAGAGCCUGAUCCAGCCAUCCCGCGUGAAGGACGACGGCCCUAUGGGUUGUAAACUUCUUUUGUAUAGGGAUAAACCUAGAUACGUGUAUCUAGCUGAAGGUACUAUACGAAUAAGCACCGGCUAACUCCGUG